rnacentral:ncRNA from 2 species
CUUAUCGUGAGAUAAGGGCUGGAGGAAGCGCGGAAUGAAACCUUGGCUCGACGUACAGAAAUCUGAUACUAAAGCUUUUUAAAGGGAUAAGGCUCCAAGACAAGUCAAAGUCCAAAAGAUGUGCGUAACUUUAUAGAGUAAAUCAGGAAAGAUAGAUGUCUUACCC